AACGCAAAUUGCACUCUUUUCGGAGAGUAUGCCUGUUUGAGGGUCAGUAUAUAUUAAAAAUCGGUAUGUUGCUUUUUUUGUGACGUUUCCGGAGUUUGAGUUAUCUUAACUCUUUUGGGUUUUAAGAGGCUUAAAAUUGACCUUAUUUGUGCAUUAUAGACGUACAUAAAUUUUUUUAUUAGUUUAUCUUUAUGCCAAAAUCUAUUAGAUGCGACCAUAUCAUGUGGUUUUGUGUCCAUAAAUUUCAUGAUUUGACCUCAAAUCAGGUAGGAACACCCGCUGAACUUAA
rnacentral:misc_RNA from 1 species